UACGUAGGGUCCGAGCGUUGUCCGGAAUUACUGGGCGUAAAGGGCUCGUAGGCGGCCAACUAAGUCGGAUGUGAAAUCCCCAGGCUUAACCUGGGAACUGCAUCCGAUACUGGAUGGCUUGAAUCCGGGAGAGGGAUGCAGAAUUCCAGGUGUAGCGGUGAAAUGCGUAGAUAUCUGGAGGAAUACCGGUGGCGAAGGCGGCAUCCUGGACCGGCAUUGACGCUGAGGAGCGAAAGCUAGGGGAGCAAACGGG
rnacentral:rRNA from 1 species